GCCCGUUACCUCUUGAUUGUUGACUAUUGACGAUGUGUAAGGUCCUUUCGAUCGUUCUUCCACAAAACGGCGCUUUCUAUUUCGACGACUUCAUUCCUGUAACUCCAUCUCUUCGACUGCCGACUAAACGAUUUGUCUUCGUAUAAAGCCUUUUUCAGGCUCCUUCAUAGAGAGGGCGACGAAGGUGAGCUUUCAUUACCUCAUAAUUUUCCUCCUACACUUUUUUCUACGUUUUCCACAGUAACUCCCGUUCCUAUCGCCGUCGUUGCCCACUCCACUUUCAACUCUCUUCGCCUUGGAAGAACUGCUCAGUACGUAGUUGGUCCCUUUGCAAUCGGUUUGAUGUUUUUUUCUGUGGUUAUCCUCUAAUGAAUUAAUUGGACUUAGUAACAAAAGUCACUUUUUAGAUGCUUCAAAAUAGGCUCCCGUUGUUACUCCUCUUACGGAAUUCAUACGUCAAAAACGUGCUACUGUGAUUGGAUCCCAGCAACAGGGUUUAUUAGAUGGUCGAAGAGGAGGCAGAAGAGCCAGAGCAGUCUCUGCAAACAAGCCAAGUUCGAGACCUUCGAAACAAAACUCUGAGAAGAAAAAGGUGUCUCUGACUUUGUAUUUGUAGUGAACAGUCAUUGUAGUCUACCAUUUCACUCAUAUGUGUUGCCUUCUUGUGGUGAACAAACAUUUAUGUCCAUUUUUUAGUUUUUUUUGAACUUUUCUUAAUAGUAUGUGGAAAAAGACAAUUCAAAAGGUGUACCCCGUACGGCUUCAUCAGACGUCGGCAGCUCCAAGCACGAUUACAAUCAGGCAAAUUCAAGUGGAAAUGACUUACCAGCAACUGAAACUGCCUCUGUCAUGGAUAGCUCUCUCCCAGGGAUUGCAUUGACUAUGGAUUCUGGGAAGAAAAAGAUCUUGCUCCUGAAAAAAGACCGCGACAACCCUGUUGACUCUCCAUUACAAGCGGAACAGCAGCAGAUCGAAGCUAAUCUUUCUGGAAGCUCCUAAACUUCAAGACAGAAUCAGAAGACAGAUGUUUGUGGGAGGUUGAUCAAGGGAAUACUUCGGAGAAAUGAGCCGCAGUCUAGCCAGGCUGCAUCUUUGGUCCAACCUGAGCAAAGAGUGGAACCCACAGAACACGAGAGGAAAAAAAAAACAUAUUACAAUUCUCUGUCUUUUUAAAAAAACAAUUGGUAAAAAUAAGAGAAUGUCCUAAAUCUUCUUAAAAAUAUACAAUUCUAUGUUUUUGUUUAAAAAAAAUUGUAAAAUAAGAGAAAUCAUUUUAUUGUUUGUUUAAACUGUUAAAUUUUUAAAUCUGAAUUUAUUAUC